CAUGACUGGGGUGAAGUCGUAACAAGGUAGCCCUAGGGGAACCUGGGGCUGGAUCACCUCCUUAACGAUAGAU
rnacentral:rRNA from 1 species